AGUGAACGCUGGCGGUAGGCCUAACACAUGCAAGUCGAGCGGCAGCACAGUAAGCGCUUGCUCUUACGGGUGGCGAGUGGCGGGCGGGUGAGGCAUACAUCGGAAUCUACUUUUUCGUGGGGGAUAACGUAGGGACACUUACGCUAAUACCGCAUACGACCUACGGGUGAAAGCAGGGGAUCUUCGGACCUUGCGCGAUUGAAUGAGCCGAUGUCGGAUUAGCUAGUUGGCGGGGUAAAGGCCCACCAAGGCAACGAUCCGUAGCUGGUCUGAGAGGAUGAUCAGCCACACUGGAACUGAGACACGGUCCAGACUCCUACGGGAGGCAGCAGUGGGGAAUAUUGGACAAUGGGCGAAAGCCUGACGCAGCAACACCGCGUGAGUGAAGAAGGCCUUCGGGUUGUAAAGCUCUGUUGUUGGGAAAGAAAAGCUGUAUAUGAAAACCCCGAUGUCUUGACGGUACCUAAAGAAUAAGCAACGGCUAACUUCGUG
rnacentral:rRNA from 1 species